GAUGAACGCUAGCGGCAGGCCUAAUACAUGCAAGUCGAACGCUCAGUAGCAAUACUGGGAGUGGCGCACGGUGCGUAACGCGUACACAAUCUACCUCUAAGCGGGGGACACCUCCUGGAAACGGGGAUUAAUACCGCAUAAUAUGCCGAGGUCGCAUGACUUUGGUAUUAAAGCAGCAAUGCACUUAGAGAUGAGUGUGCGUCCCAUUAGGUAGUUGGUGAGGUAACGGCUCACCAAGCCUAUGAUGGGUAGCCGGUCUGAGAGGAUGGUCGGCCACACGGGCACUGAGACACGGGCCCGACUCCUACGGGAGGCAGCAGUAAGGAAUAUUGGUCAAUGGUGGAAACACUGAACCAGCCAUGCCGCGU
rnacentral:rRNA from 1 species